rnacentral:rRNA from 1 species
UACGGGGGGAGCAAGCGUUGUUCGGAUUUACUGGGCGUAAAGGGCGCGUAGGCGGCCAGCGCAAGUCAGUUGUGAAACCUCCGGGCUUAACUCGGAACGGUCAGCUGAUACUGCGCGGCUAGAGUGCAGAAGGGGCAACUGGAAUUCUCGGUGUAGCGGUGAAAUGCGUAGAUACCGAGAGGAACACCUGCGGCGAAGGCGGGUUGCUGGGCUGACACUGACGCUGCAGCGCGAAAGCCAGGGGAGCGAA